AUUAAGUGCAGUUAUGAGUUUUCGUGUUUAACAUUUAACCAUCCAUUUUAAAAAAAUUUUAUGAUUAAUAUUUUUAUUGUUAUUAGAUGAUAAAAUAUGAAUAGUAUUUUAUACGUGACUUAUUUUUUUUAAUUUUUUUAUAAAUUUGUUAAAUAAGACGGAUAGUCAAACGUUGAAUACGGAAUCAACAACUACACUUAAA
rfam:Oryza punctata chromosome 7, whole genome shotgun sequence.